UCCCGUGUAGAAACCUAGUGGUUAUAAGCGUCGGAUACUAGUUAGGUUCUUUCUUUUAAUUUAGCAUUAAGCUGAAAUAAUAAUACCUCCAUCUCUGUACAGCUCUGGCAAUGCCUUACUGUAUCUACCGCAUUUAAUUCAUCAAACACUACAACUAUUCUAAAUUAUAGUCCAUGAACCAGUAAAAUAAUAACGGGAUGUAUUUAUAUUUAUAUUUUUAUAUUUCUUAGCAGUAUGCAUGUCUAUAAACAGCAAAACAAAAUGUUGAUGCUUACCAUGAUCAUAGAUAUUAUGUUAUUAUUUUGUAGAUGAUGUUAUCAUUUUGUAAUUUUGACUAUUAAAAGGAAAUGGCGUAAUCGUGGCGUGUUUGAUCUGAGAUGAUCAUCAUCACUUAUCCUCCUGAAGAUGAAUCCAUCAGUAGUGUGAUCAUAUGUGUACGGUUCAUCCAAGCCAUAAACACAGUGUUGCACAUAACCGUGUGCUGUUAGAUUAGCCCGGACCGCUGCUGGAGCUGGCUUCCAAUCUUACUCUUAUGUUCAAUAUUAAGCAUUAAAAAAGAUUUUUUACGGUAUGCAUACUGAGUUGCAGUUGGUGUCGUGUGUUUGCAUAUAAACUGUGACUGGCCUUAGUCAGAAUGUCACUAACUCAGUGUAGUGUUGCAUCGUUCAUAGAAAAGUCCUGGAUUAUUAUAUUUAGCACUGGUCUAUAAUGAGCUUUAGUCUCUGUGGAGGUCAGCUGAGAGCUUUAAAGGGACAGUUCACCCAGAACGAAAAUAGCCACCCUCGUGUCGUUUAGAUGCUGUUUUAUUUUACUUUAUUUGUGAAACACAAAUUUGAGAUGUUAGGUAGAACGUCUCAGCUGCUCUCUUCCACAAUAUGAGAGUGGAUGUGAUUUGUUUGUUUCUGGAGCAGCAGAUCAGCAUAUUAUACUGAUUUCUGAAGAUCAUGUGACACUGAAGACUGGAGGAAUGAUGCUGAAAAUACAGCUGCGCAUCACAGAAAUACAUUACAGUUUAACAGAGAUUCACACAGAACACAGCUGGUUUACAUUAUAAUAAUAUCUCACUGUUUUUACUGUAUUUGUGAUCAAAUAAAUGCAUUCUUGAUGAGCAGAAGAGACCUUGUUGAAAAACAUUAACAAAUCUUAAUGACCGUUAAAUGGUAGUGUAAGUAUAUUAAAAUCUAGGCCGGUACGAUAAGCCAACAAUUAUUUCAAUCUUACAGCAGAUAACUGAUAAGUGGCC
rnacentral:lncRNA from 1 species